AACAAACCAAUCUUUUACUUUUUAUCUAUAAUGUUUGACCCUUUAUCUUAUUUAAAAGAAAAUUGUGAUUAAUAUUUUUGUUUUUAUUAGAUGAUAAAUCAUGAAUAAUACUUUACGUAUAACUAAUUUUUUUAUUUUCUUAAAACUUUUAAAUAAGACAGAUGAUCAAACGCUGGAUACGAAAACCGAAAGAUUGGUUUGUU
rnacentral:pre_miRNA from 1 species